AUUGAACGCUGGCGGCAUGCCUUACACAUGCAAGUCGAACGGCAGCACGGGGGCAACCCUGGUGGCGAGUGGCGAACGGGUGAGUAACAUAUCGGAACAUACCCUAGAGUGGGGGAUAACGUAGCGAAAGUUACGCUAAUACCGCAUACGAUCUAAGGAUGAAAGUGGGGGGAUCUUCGGACCUCAUGCUCAUGGAGUGGCCGAUAUCUGAUUAGCUAGUUGGUGAGGUAAAGGCUCACCAAGGCGACGAUCAGUAGCUGGUUUGAGAGAACGACCAGCCACACUGGAACUGAGACACGGUCCAGACUCCUACGGGAGGCAGCAGUGGGGAAUUUUGGACAAUGGGGGCAACCCUGAUCCAGCAAUGCCGCGUGAGUGAAGAAGGCCUUCGGGUUGU
rnacentral:rRNA from 1 species